AAAUCUUAAUAUAUAGUAGAGCUAUUAUACUAUCAUAAAUAUAGAAGAUCUAGUACUUUUAAUUUUUUAGUCUUUACAUUAAUUUUUUUGAUUAUUUCUAACUUUUGGAUUAAUAUUAUUAUUACUUUAUAAAAUCCACUCAAUCCUAGAGGGGACUGCAAUUAUUCCAAUUGUAUAAUUUUUUAUUCAAGUGUCAAAAAAUCGAAAGUACAAAUUCUCUAUACUUCUAAUAAUAUAGUGGCUCUACAUAUUCUCAAUC
rnacentral:lncRNA from 1 species